AGCGAACGCUGGCGGCAGGCCUAACACAUGCAAGUCGAACGAACCCUUCGGGGUUAGUGGCGGACGGGUGAGUAACACGUGGGAACGUGCCUUUAGGUUCGGAAUAACUCAGGGAAACUUGUGCUAAUACCGAAUGUGCCCUUCGGGGGAAAGAUUUAUCGCCUUUAGAGCGGCCCGCGUCUGAUUAGCUAGUUGGUGAGGUAAUGGCUCACCAAGGCUACGAUCAGUAGCUGGUCUGAGAGGAUGACCAGCCACAUUGGGACUGAGAAACGGCCCAAACUCCUACGGGAGGCAGCAGUGGGGAAUCUUGCGCAAUGGGCGAAAGCCUGACGCAGCCAUGCCGCGUGGAUGAUGAAGGUCUUAGGAUUGUAAAAUCCUUUCACCGGUGAAGAUAAUGACUGUAGCCGGAGAAGAAGCCCCGGCUAACUUCGUGCCAGCCGCCGCGGUAAAAC
rnacentral:rRNA from 1 species